GACGAACGCUGGCGGCGUGCCUAAUACAUGCAAGUCGAGCGGACUUAAAAAGCUUGCUUUUUAAGUUAGCGGCGGACGGGUGAGUAACACGUGGGCAACCUGCCUGUAAGACUGGGAUAACUUCGGGAAACCGGAGCUAAUACCGGAUAAUCCUUUUCUACUCACGUAGAAAAGCUGAAAGACGGUUUACGCUGUCACUUACAGAUGGGCCCGCGGCGCAUUAGCUAGUUGGUGAGGUAACGGCUCACCAAGGCGACGAUGCGUAGCCGACCUGAGAGGGUGAUCGGCCACACUGGGACUGAGACACGGCCCAGACUCCUACGGGAGGCAGCAGUAGGGAAUCUUCCGCAGUGGACGAAAGUCUGACGGAGCAACGCCGCGUGAGUGAUGAAGGUGUUCGGAUCGUAAAACUCUGUUGUUAGGGAAGAACAAGUACGAGAGUAACUGCUCGUACCUUGACGGUACCUAACCAGAAAGCCACGGCUAACUACGUG
rnacentral:rRNA from 1 species